rnacentral:lncRNA from 10 species
AAGACUUUGUCUCGAAAAAAAAAAAAAGUGCAGACAGCAAGAGCUCACCUCUCAAGAGUCCUAUUUAGUAGCUUCAUCAGCAGUAAGCCUAACAAUAAUAAGAAACACAAUAUCAGGGCUGGGAUUAGGGUGAGGCAAGCAAGGGACCCAGGGUACAAAACUUAAAGAAGUGCUUGCUCUCAGGUUUGUGCAAGUGCCAAGACAGUAAGUGCCUCCUCACACACUUCGUGGGGCAUGUCACUUGACUCACUCUAGUCUUGGUCCUGCAAAGUAUAGGGUAGUCCAUGGACCAUCAGCAUCAGCAUGGCCUGGGGACUUAUUAAAAAUGCAAAAGCCGUCUGGGCACCAUAGCUCACCCUGUAAUCCCACUUUGGGUGGUUGCUUGGGGACAGGAUUUCAAUACCAGCCCAGGUAAUAUGGCAAGACUCCCAUCUCUGUAAAAAAAUUUUUUUUAAUUACCUGGGCAUGGUGGCAGAAGUCUACAGUCCUAUCUACUAAGAAGGCUGAGGCAGGAGCAUCACUUCAGUCCAUGAGUUUGAGGCUGCAGUGAGCCAUGAUCAGGCCACUGCACUCUAGCCUGAGUGACAGAGUGUGAUACUGUCCAAUAAAUAAAUAAAUAAAUAAAUAAACGGGGCAAAAUCUUGGCCUACCCCAGACCUACUGAAUCAGAAUUUGCAUUUUAUGCUGGGUGCUGUGGCUCAUGUCUGUAAUACCAGCAUUCUAGAAGCCCAAGGCAGGUGGAUCACCUGAGGUCAGGAGUUCAAGACCAGCCUGGCCAACAUGGUGAAACCCCGUCUCUACUAAAAAUAAAAAAAGAAUUUGCAUUUUAACAAGAUUCUCAGGUUAUUCCUGUUCACAUUAAAGUCUGAGAAACAAUGAAUAGAAGGGAUGCUCAAAUUUAGUUCUGCAACUGAAACCAAAACCCUAAGCACUUUUUAACCUAUCAUGCUGCAUUUCUAAAAUAGGAAACAGUGAGUAAUGGCUCUCCACUGGAGUCCAAAGGACAGCCCUACAAUGGCCAAUAUUAUUGUCACCCCUUGGUCAAUGGCCUGGAUAAUGACAUAAGAGAUGCUUAUUAACCUGCAGGUGGCACAAAAGAGGAGGCUGCUGAGGCAGGAAGGAGCAGAGUCAGACCAUCCUGACCGGCUGGAUGCCAGUUACACAGAGAAGAAGCCUUCUUACACCUCUUCAACAUCUCCCAUGAGCACCCUGCACACAGACAGCACGUAUGAGUGAGGAGGACCAGGCGGUUCUCUGCUAAGGGGAGGCUCUUGAUGCAGUCGGGCCCACUGGUUCUUCUCCACUUUCCUCCAGAGUCAGGAUCCUUUCCACUUCCCCAACCGGAAAACAGAGGCACAGAGAAGAAACAGGAACGGUGAAGCAGGGGAAGGUUGCACUAAGAACUCAAAAUUCACCGGGGGUUCAGAAAACCUGUUGACGUAAAUGUGUUUCUACUUGAAUGCCUCCUCCUUCCCUUCGGGGAGACAUGUGAGUCUCAACACUGAGUCUUUGAGAGAAGGGACUACAGACAUUGUGUAGACAGGAACCAGAGGGCCUUCCCGUUCUCCUUGUCAGGACAAGUCCCUGCUUGACAGCUAAAUAAUUACUAAGAGAACAAGAAUCAGUUAGAGAGAACCCAUGAUGAGCUUGGGAUGGGAAAGAAAAGAAAGUCGUUUACAUCCUAACCUCACUGCAGGCCUGCAAAGACGUGGCAUGCAGGGAAGUUGGAGUCAUAGGCAGAAAAGGCCUCCCCUUCUUCCUGCUUUGAUGAAAAGCUCCUCCACCCGCAGCAGUGUUGCACUAAUAGCGACGAGGCCCUUGCUGCCAGUCACCUCCCACUCUUCUCUCUGCUUGGCUGGCUCUUUACUGCCUCCAGAAAUAAAAGCUAGAAUAUGAUACUUAUUAUGCUAAUAAUCACUCCCUAGUAAACAUAAGUUCCAGAAGCACAAGCCUCUGCUUACAAACAGCAUAACUGCCAAUGCAAAAGGACAUCACUUCUCCCUCAUCCCCACCCCCACCUAGGACAAGUGCAGAUUAAAUUAACAAUUCUCAAAAUUCCCAAUGGUGUCAAAAGCAUUUAAAGUUGCUGGGUCAAAGAUUCACUUUUGCAGCAGACAACCACAAAGGAUUUCAGUGUUACAUACAGUGGAAAUGAUUGCAAGAAAUUCUAAAUAGGGACAGACCAGUAAUUUAAAUUCAUUUUCUAAUGGCUAACACUUAUUUUUUGUUUGUUUCCCAGUUCAAUAGCUGAUUCUAAGUCAGGUUCCAAUUAAGGAAAACAAGACCCAGUUUUCUGGUUCCACUGGGAUUUACUUGUUCAGGGAUUACCUGUCUGCCAGUUGUGAACCUGUUGUGACUAACACAAGCGUGUUUCAGAACAAGGAAACACCCUGAUUACUGGAAGUCAAGGGCAAAGUAAAGCCCAAAACAAGGAACUCUCACUUUCCGUCUGGUGUGUUCCCCAGCAGGCCACUGCCUCUGUCUCUAACCAGAGAUUACUGUAUACAACUAUGAAACCACUGGUGAUAGAAAUCAGAAAAUAGAGCAUGAGAAGCAAAAUCCCACUAGUAAUGUCGAACACUAACACAUAAAGUGGACUACUGAAGCAAAUACCUAAAAGCUAAGUAUUAGAGUUGCCCACAUUUUUUUUUUUUUUUUUUUGAGGCAGAGUCUUGCUCUGUCACCCAGGCUAGAGUGCAAUGGUACAAUCUCGGCUCACUGUAACCUCUGCUCCCUGGACUCAAGCAAUUCUCCUGCCUCAGCCUCCCGAGUAGCUGGGAUUACAGGCAUGCGCCGCCAUGCAUGACUAAUUUUUGUAUUUUUAGUAGAGACGAGGUUUCACCAUGUUGGCCAGGCUGGUCUUGAACUCCCGACCUCAAGUAAUCUGCCUGCCUCGGCCUCCCAAAGUGCUGGGAUUACAGGCAUGAGCCACCAUGCCCGGCCUGCCCAGAUAUUUUAAACAGGACUGAUUUUCUUCAAUUACUUGAAUACCUGAAUUAUCCCAGUUUUCUAUUUUAUUUUAUCUACACAGGCAUAGUUAGACACUGGUUAGAGUAAGACUAGAGGCAAAAGACACCCCUGGUUACUCUACUUGAAUCUGUGAGUAAUGUGUAUUUUCAUACACUUUGAAUUAUUUAACAUGACUUAGCUCUCUGACCCUGGAAAAUCACUCUGAAUCCAGAACAUCUUCAAAAUAGAGGAUGGAAUAAAAUUGCUUCUAAGAUCCUUUUGACUUACUUGGUUUAUAUCUUCUUUACUAUGGGAUCAAAUCCCAUUAAACAGCAAGUCAGUGGCUCAAAAUAUUUCAAAUACUAGAACUUCAUUGUAGCAAAUGAUGCUAAAAGUAGAAAUUUAAUUGCAAUAAGAUUUGGUCUACGCAUUAAUUGAUGUGGUACUUUAAUUUUUUAUUUCCGUAGGUUUUUGAGAUUUUGGUGCACCCAACACCCAAGCAGUAUACACUGUACCCAAUUUGCAGUAUUUUAUCCCUCACCUGCCUCCUGCCCUUUCACCCGAGUCCCCAAAGUCCAUUGUAUCAUUCUUAUGCCUCUGCAUCCUCAUAGCUUAGCCCCUAGAUGCUGUAUUUUUAAAAAGAAUUUAUUGUUCACCAAUGUUCAUAGCAGCAUUAUUCACAAUGGACAAAAGGUGGAAGCCACCCAAAUGUUCAUCAAUAAAGAGACAGACAUGGAAAGAAACAGUUCCUCCUCCUCAAUGGGAUGUUCUGGUGUCUCCCUGUGGCACCUGGAACUGCGACAGGCCACCUGAGACCAUGGGGAGCCAGCGGGCAAGCCUGUACUGAGGAUGACAAAGCAGGAGGGCAAAAUGAACUUGGCUCCUUGAUGCCUUUGCCAGGCUGCUCAGUUAACCAGCACUGGACUCACCCUUGCCCCAGACUUUUGUUUUCUGAAAUGAUAAACAUCUGUGUGUUUAAG